UUAGCACUGCGUACAGCUUCAUGUUUGGCUGAAGUUUUCGGCAUUCCUUCAGCCGUGAGUCAGAACUGGAGUCACAGGGAAGCUUCCAGAAACCACGGUGACGACAUCAGUAACUCCAACUCAUUCACAAUUGCCUACUUUGGGACUGUCACGAACAAUUACGUGCAGGCAGAAAUACCGGAACAGCGGAGCGCCAUUCAUUUCUUGGCGGAUAUAGCUGUAGUUAGAACCCUGUUCCGCCGCGAAGCCAACAGUCGGAAUCACGGCCAUUAAGGGUAUCUGGAUGUGGACCCUGGUGCUGCUGACAGGCUGCUCUCCUGCAUAAGGAUAAGUUAUCUCAGAUAAGGGAAUGUUGGAAAUUUGGAUUGAAAGAUUCUCUUAUCAGAUUGGAUGGCCAACACAGACUCCACUAUAGAAAACCUAGGAGCAGAAGUACCAACCAAACAGUGAUGUCACCACCAAACCACCCUCUGAUGACGUCACUUCUGGCCUUUCCUGAUGACAUCUUUCCUUUCAGAACCUGCUUACCAAAGACAUCACUGUCUCUUCCGGCUAUACUUAUAUUAUAUUUACUUAUACUCCUGUCUACCAUGGUGCUUGCAACCUGUUGCAUGUUGGGCAUGAAAAUAAGAAUUUCACUGGACUCUGUACAUGUGACAGUAUCUCUAAUUAAACCCUUCUGCAUUAUUAUCUUGUUUUAAUAAAUCCAUCUGUCCAUUUUCUAAACCUGCUUCUCCAGGAACCUAUCCCAUCAAGCAAUGGGGACAAAGCAGAAACCGUCUACAGAAAAGACACCCACCAUUUCAUGCUGAAUACACACAGACCAAUUUAGCAUCAGCA